CAUUGCCCCAUUUCUUCCUCAGGAAUGAAAGUUCAUGGGGUAGAGGAUAGGGUAGAAGGUGGGUAUUUAAAACUGGUCUCUGAUGCCUUUGUGUUUCUAAAUGGAGAGUUCCUUUGUCCUUAGGAUAUGACACGGAUUUGUUCUGUUUUAGGUGGGAGUGAAUGUCCCCAUUCCAGUGCCUUUGCCAAUGUUCUCAUUCACCGGCUCUCGAUCCUCCUUCAGGGGAGACACCAAUUUCUAUGGCAAACAGGGCAUCCAAUUCUACACUCAGUUAAAGACCAUUACUUCUCAGUGGAAAGAAGAAGAUGCUACUCUUUCCUCACCUGCUGUUGUCAUGCCUACCAUGGGCCGUUAGAAACAAGUUUGUUUAAGACUGACUCCAUCCUGAGUAAUCUCCCUUUAUUUUUGACCAGCUUCAUUUGUCAGCUUUGCUCAGAUCAGAUCUAUGGGAUUGGAAUACAUUGUAACUAAAAUCUUCCUCAGGACUAUUAACCCCUGCAAAGUUUCUAUAGGGAACUGCCUAGUGUAACAAUGAAACCAGAUUUCUCACUUGCUCUUCAUACUUCUAUUUUGAAGUAACUGUUGUAACUAUGAAAUGCUUAUCUGAAAGUAGUGCUUAAACCCGAUUUCUAAAAAUUAUCCCAUUUUCUGAUGAUUUGAAGGGGAGAAAAGCCAGUGUAUGUAAAGAAAAUGUUCCAGCCAGGCGCGGUGGCUCACGCCUGUAAUUCCAUCAUUUUGGGAGGCCAUAGUGGGCAGAUUGCUUGAGCCCAGGAGGUGAAGAACGUGGCGAAACCCCGUAUCUAUUAUUUAAAAAAAUUGAAAAAGUAAAAAAAGAAAAGGGAAAAAAAAAUUUUUAAAGAAGAUGUUCCAAUAAUUGCAAGAAGAACUCUUAGAUGGGGAAACAGGACAGAAAUAACUCACCGCUUUUGGUUGAUCCUCAAACAUAGCGCUACCUAAAUGCCACUGGGAGAGACCUCCUGCAAAGUUUUCUUUAGCCCCUCUUUUAUCCCACAAUACACAAGAUAUAAUCCAUUUUUAUAUAUCCCAAAGUUGUGGCAACAGCUUCUUUCUUUUCUGCUCAAUGCCACUUUGUUUCCUAGUAAUUCAUGACCACUAUUAAUUCUAUCAUUGUCACUGCUCCUGCUUCUUAAGAUCACUUCUCAAGGAUACCUCAGUAAGCAAUGGAUAAAUCAACUUUUUGUUAUAUGUGCCAAGUACUAAGUUUCAGGGUUCUCUUCAGCAAUCAUUAAUUAAUACUUCAGCCAUUAAUUCAGAUGCAAAUAAUUUUCUUGUUUCUUUUUUUUUGAGAUGGAGUUUCACUCUUGUUGCCCAGGCUGGAGUGCAAUGGCGUGAUCUCAGCUCACCGCAACCUCCAUCUCCCAGGUUCAAGCGAUUCUCCUGCCUCAGCCCUCCUAGUAGCUGGGAUUACAGGCAUGCGCCACCACACCCAGCUAAUUUUGUAUUUUUAGUAGAGACGGGGUUUCUCCGUGUUGGUCAGGCUGGUCUCGAACUCCUGACCUCAGGUGAUCCGCCUGCCUCGGCCUCCCAAAGUGCUGGGAUUACAGGCAUGAGCCACCACACCUAGCCAGAUGCAAAUAAUUUUCUUAGAAAAUUAUUUCAAAAGUUAUUUUAGGCCCAGAAAUCAAGGAGUGUUCCAACCAUGAAAAUGGGUAAGACACCUGCCUUAAGCAAAUCUAACCUGCUAUUACUUGCCAAAUUUUAUAUAUUCUUUUCUCUUGCCUGUAUUUCUAAUUAGUGAUUUGUUUAAUGAAGAACUCUUCAUGUAGAGCAAUUAACUGGGCCUAAGAAAUUUCGAAGCUUUCCAUGACAUAAAGUGGUUAAAAAAAAAAUGCUUUGACAGUCUUCUUCUGCCAUUAGUUCAACUGCCUUUACGCUUUUUUUUUUUUUUUUUUUUUGAGAUGGAGUUUCACUCUUGUUGCCCAGGCUAGAGUGCAAUGGCGUGAUCUUGGCUCACUGCAACCUCUGCCUCCCGGGUUCAAGCAAUUCUCCUGCCUCAGCCUCCUGAGUAGCUGGGAUUUCAGGCAUACGCCACCAUGCCUGGCUAAUUUUGUAUUUUUAGUAGAGACAGGGUUUCUCCAUGUUGGUCAGGCUGGUCUCGAACUCCCAACCUCAGGUGAUCUGCCUGCCUUGGCCUCCCAAAGUGCUGGGAUUACAGGUGUGAGCUACCACCCCCAGCCACCUUUAUGCUUUUUGUUUCUUUGAUAUAUCUAAACUUAAGGUCAGAACAGAAAUUCAUGUGCUGAACAGAAUGGAUUCUUUUUGCAAUACCAACCCAAUUGAAUCCUCUUUUUAUUUUCCUGCGUCCUUACCAGUCACUUUGAUAGUGCUAACUAACCUACACUAUGGGGGUUAUUCAUGAAUUAAGUAUGAUAAAAAAAAAAAAAAGACCUUGAAAAUGUUGUGUACCCUGUGGAGUUGAGGCUUAUUACUACCACCUGGCUGGAUAAAAUGUCAAAACCUUCAAUCACUUAAGGUGACUGGAACUUUUGUAAAAUACACUUAUGAUCCUACUGGGCCUUUUUUUUUUUUUUUCUGCUUUCCUAAAUAUGAGGCAAUAGAAAUUUAUAAUUUCAGACUACAGUACCCCUUGUUUUAGCUCUUAUCACAGCUGGCAACUGGUAGUGAUUUUUUUUGUUGUUGUUUUGUUUUGUUUUGAGAUGGAGUCUCGCUCUGUUGCCCAGGGUGGAGUGCAGUGGCACGAUCUCGGCUCACUGCAACCUCCACCUCCUGGGUUCAAGUAAUUCUCCUGCCUCAGUGUCCCGAGUAGCUGGGAUUACAAGUGCAUGCCCCCACACCCGGAUAAUUUUUUGUACUUUUAGUAGAGACAGGGUUUCACCAUGUUAGCCAGGAUGGUCUCAAUCUCCUGACCUAAUGAUCCGCCCACCUCGGCCUCCCAAAGUGCUGGGAUUACAGGCGUGAACCACUGCACCUGGCCCUGGUAGUGACAUUUAAUCCAAUCCAACAACUAUAGGCUGGGUUAAAUAAAAGGUCAUUAUUGUCUAUAUUCCAAGUGGAAUUAAAUGUAGUCACAGAGACUCCUAACAUUUUCCCUAUAUUUAAGGGAAAUCACUUCUAAAAAAACACACUAAUCAGAACUGUGAUGCUCUAAUUAGAAACAACUCAUCUGGCCAACUAUUUGCUGCUCAGAGUCUCUUAUUUCUUAGAUGAAAAAAACUCAUCAGUUAUAUUCAUGUGAUCGCGGCUAAAAAGUCAGUAUUUUCUUUUCUU
rnacentral:lncRNA from 1 species